UAGGAUUCAUUUCAUUAGUUAUUGAUUUCUGCUAGCUCAAAAAAUAGUGGCUUUGAUCAAGUUGGAUAAGGGUUCAAACUAAGUAUCUCGGAGACGUAAUACCCAUCUUUCACCAACAUUUUUAGUAGUCAAAUCCUCCAAUUUGGGACACCACCCAUAAAGAAGUUUCAUUAAAUCAUCUAAAGUAUCAAAAAUAAUGCCAUAGAGAAAAAGGGUUUUGAGCAAGGG
rnacentral:lncRNA from 1 species